UAUGUGAUCGUCUCUCGCAUAUCAAUAAGCGGAGGAAAAGAAACUAACAAGGAUUCCCCUAGUAACGGCGAGUGAAGCGGGAAGAGCUCAAAUUUGAAAUCUUAAAGGGUUUCCCUUUACGAAUUGUAGUUUAAAGAAGUGUUUUCUGUUGAGGUUUUGGUAAAAGUUCUUUGGAAUAGGACAUCAUAGAGGGUGAGAAUCCCGUAUUUGACCUUUACUUUCAACUUUGUGAUACACUUUCAAAGAGUCGGAUUGUUUGGGAAUGCAGUCCAAAAUGGGUGGUAAAUUUCAUCUAAAGCUAAAUAUUGGCGAGAGACCGAUAGCGAACAAGUACCGUGAGGGAAAGAUGAAAAGAACUUUGAAAAGAGAGUUAAACAGUACGUGAAAUUGUCAAAAGGGAAGCGUUUGACACCAGUGUUGUUUUUCUGAAAAUCAAUUAAAGAACUGUUUAUGCUAAGUUGUUUAGACUUUAUCAGCUAACUGUUUAGUUUUGAGCUUUUCUUUAAUGCACUUUUCAGUUAACAAGUCAACAUCAAUUUCUUUUGCUGUAAAAAAGCUUGAGGAAGGUGGCUUGAGAUUCGUCUUAAGUGUUUAUAGCCUCUUGCCUAUGCAGUCGGAGAGAUUGAGGUCUGCAGCGUAGAUCCUUCGGGGCUAUAAUGCAUUUGUGCUAAGUUAUAGCAUUUUAUAGACAACUUGUUGACUAUGAUUUGUCUUGUAGCUUACUCGCUUAUGUUAUUUUACCUACGCUUAGGAUGUUGACACACGCGCGUGCUCG
rnacentral:rRNA from 1 species